rnacentral:rRNA from 1 species
AACGAACGCUGGCGGCAGGCUUAACACAUGCAAGUCGAACGAGCUGGGACCUUCGGGUCCCGAUGCUAGUGGCGCACGGGUGAGUAACACGUGGGAACGUGCCUUUAGGUUCGGAAUAGCUCCUGGAAACGGGUGGUAAUGCCGAAUGUGCCCUUCGGGGGAAAGAUUUAUCGCCUUUAGAGCGGCCCGCGUCUGAUUAGCUAGUUGGUGAGGUAAAGGCUCACCAAGGCGACGAUCAGUAGCUGGUCUGAGAGGAUGACCAGCCACAUUGGGACUGAGACACGGCCCAAACUCCUACGGGAGGCAGCAGUGGGGAAUCUUGCGCAAUGGGCGAAAGCCUGACGCAGCCAUGCCGCGUGAAUGAUAAAGGUCUUAGGAUUGUAAAAUUCUUUCACCGGGGACGAUAAUGACGGUACCCGGAGAAGAAGCCCCGGCUAACUUCGUGCCAGCCGCCGCCGUAAGAC